UCUUUGUUAGUACAGUGGUCAGUAUAUCCGCUUUUCAAGUCAAAAAGUUGCGCGGACGACCCGGGUUCGAACCCCGGACAGAGAA